rnacentral:lncRNA from 1 species
UUAUAAUUUUCUUGCUUGCUUAGCAAUCAACAUCAAGUCCACUGACAAGUCCAAAGCAAGCACAGGAAAUGCCGUCCUGCAGAGGUAAAGGUUAAGGCCAACAUUUCCGAGAACUGAGACAGGAGUGUGCAGAAGAGAAGAGCCCCAAUCCAAUCACUCAGUCUUCCUUGUAGCUGUUCCCAUGUUCUAAGCGUGAGUUCGAUGUCCUGUCUGCCGCCAAGGAGGACCCCAAAAGUACACCCACUACCCCACUCCCAGACAAGGCAAGGAAGGAAGGAGGGGUUGCAAUGACAUCUCCGAGCCACCAGAGAGCAUAUCUUCAUCUGGGUUCAGAACAUUUUACAAAACAGGGGGAAAAGGGGGGAAAAGAUAUCCCUUCCUGCUUCAAUCAAACAAUCCUUGGAUUUCAGACUUUCCAGAAAUAUUAAAUUUCUAAACCACUGUAUUUCUUAUUUCAUCACUGUAUUUUUCAUUUAAACGUUUUUAGAAAAUGACAAAAUAUUGUUUUGC